AUGGGGGACACCCUGACGCAGCGACGCCGCGUGGAUGAUGAAGGCCUUCGGGUUGUAAAGUCCUGUCUGGUGGGACGAAACGCAUAGAGGUCCAAUACACCCUUAAGCUUGACGGUACCCUCAAGAGAAAGCUCCGGCUAACUCCGUGCCAGCAGGCGCGGUAAU
rnacentral:rRNA from 1 species